rnacentral:rRNA from 1 species
GAUGAACGCUGGCUGCGUGCCUAAUACAUGCAAGUCGAGCGAACGGACGAGAAGCUUGCUUCUCUGAUGUUAGCGGCGGACGGGUGAGUAACACGUGGAUAACCUACCUAUAAGACUGGGAUAACUUCGGGAAACCGGAGCUAAUACCGGAUAAUAUUUUGAACCGCAUGGUUCAAAAGUGAAAGACGGUCUUGCUGUCACUUAUAGAUGGAUCCGCGCUGCAUUAGCUAGUUGGUAAGGUAACGGCUUACCAAGGCAACGAUGCAUAGCCGACCUGAGAGGGUGAUUGGCCACACUGGAACUGAGACACGGUCCAGACUCCUACGGGAGGCAGCAGUAGGGAAUCUUCCGCAAUGGGCGAAAGCCUGACGGAGCAACGCCGCGUGAGUGAUGAAGGUCUUCGGAUCGUAAAACUCUGUUAUUAGGGAAGAACAUAUGUGUAAGUAACUGUGCACAUCUUGACGGUACCUAAUCAGAAAGCCACGGCUAACUACGUG